AAUCCUGGCUCAGGAUGAACGCUAGCGACAGGCUUAACACAUGCAAGUCGAGGGGCAGCGGGGAGUAGCAAUACUUCGCCGGCGACCGGCUCACGGGUGAGUAACACGUGUGCAACCAACCCCGUACCGGGAGAUAACCCGCGGAAACGUGGACUAACAUCCCAUAAGACUCUAGAGCCGCAUGGCUCUGGAUUUAAAAUUCCAGUGGUACGGGACGGGCACGCGCGACAUUAGGUAGUUGGCGGGGUAACGGCCCACCAAGCCG
rnacentral:rRNA from 1 species